CUCGGACAGCGAUUGAAGCGGAAAUCCUUUUUGCGGUGUGUUUAAGCAAAUGCGGUUUUUGGAGCAUCAGCGUAAAAACACCGCCUGAAAAAAGCCCAUGCAGCAAAAAGAUUGGAGCGGAAAGCGCGGUGCUGA
rnacentral:sRNA from 1 species